UACAUGGGGUGCAACCGUUGCUCGGAAUUAUUGGGCGUAAAGCGCACGUAGGUGGUCUGUAUGUCAGAUGUGAAAGCCCUCGGCUUAACUGAGGAAGUGCACCUGAAACUGGCAGGCUUGAGUACGAAAGAGGGUCGCGGAAUUCCCGGUGUAGAGGUGAAAUUCGUAGAUAUCUGGAGGAACACCGGUGGCGAAGGCGGCAUCCUGGACCAAUUCUGACGCUGAGUGAGCGAAAGCCAGGGGAGCAAACGGG
rnacentral:rRNA from 1 species